ensembl:lncRNA
GUGCAUAUUUAUGUUGUCCCUUCCAUGUUCUGAGCAUUGUGCUGGGCGGUAUUGAGGAAAACAGAAGGGCAGUGGGUAAGGCGUGAUGUCUGGUGGGUAAGCACGUAUACCAUUUUCAACCAAAUGUCAGUGUGCUGUGGAAGGACAGAAGAAACCAUAUGCAUUAGGAAUGAUUAACAUGAAGUUCAUGUUUGGGAGGAAGAGUAUAAGUGGUCUCCUGGGAUAAUGUAAACAUGCAGGGAAGUUGCUCUGAAUAGAAGCUCGAGAUAAACUAUCAAUGUAUGAAUUAAUGUUGUCAUGCAGCAGUUGUAGCAGCAGCUC